CUGCCUGGUUCGGGGCCACCACCACGUACUGAGGACAUUCCAGUUUUACGUCUCUUACAACACUAUUUAAAAACUGAAUGAACGGACACUGAUUUGGAAAGGAACACAUGAGGUGCACAACGUACUUUCCGUCAGAGAGCAAAUAGAAGGCUAUAGCCGUGCCGAUGACUUCCUGCAUGUCUGAGCCAAUGAUGGCGAUCUCCACCAUAAGCCAUAGCAGGAGCCGCGGCGCCUUCCGGUACUGCUUGAAGCACACUUCCGCCAGAUGGUUGCCCGUGACAACGCCCAGACGCGCUGACAGCCUCUGCAUCAGCAAUCCCAGGAUGGUGGACGACAUGAGGACCCAUAGUAGCUGAGGAGAGAGGGUGAAAAUAAAUGGUGAAAUGGUGUAGGG